AGCAUUUAAAAUUAUAAUACAGUAUUACAAAAACAUUUUUUUUUAUAACUAAGCCAACUAAUUUCCAACGACAAAAAUGCAUGGAAUGUGCAACCUCUUGAAACUGAGGACAUGUGAUCAGCAAAGCUGCUACACUUUUAGUUGACCUCAGCCUCUCUACGCCUCUAGUUAAAUAUCACAAAAUGGCGCUAGCAAGAAAGGAAACAGCCACAGUAAAAAAGCAUGGAGCACCAUCUCUCUAAAAUAAGCCGAGAAAGGAAGGAAAACAUUUGGCUGAUGCGUGUGCUGAGACUGAGGAGUGAAGACAUUGAGAAUUCCCUGCAUGUGUCGUUACUGCCAUUCCAGGACAAAUCACAUGGAGAGCUCUAGGUUGGUUCUGCUCAACUCCACUGUGUGAUUGUUAUGGCCCACAGACCAUGAUAAUUCAACAAGCAGAGGCAGAAAGCAAAACCUUCCACUUCCACUUGCACAGCACCACAGCCAUCUCCAAGCUCAGUACAACCCAUUGCCGACAUACAUGAGGGACUGAUUGGAAUGUGGUGUGUUGUGAAAUAUGAUGAAGACCCUUACCCUGGUAUUAUACAAGAUGUUGAUGCAGAGAGCUGUGCUCUAGUCAAAACGAUGAGUUGUGUGGGAGCCAACCGAUUACUUUGGCCAAUGAGAGAGGACAUUGUAUGCUUGGGCUUGUCUCUGAGCCUCAUCCAGUGACAAAACGGCAUAUGAUGCUUGAGAGGAAAUAUGCUCUUUUGUUAAGCAAUAGAGAGCAAUAGAGAGCAUUAUGGGCUAAUCUUGAGUGAGCACAUACCUGUCUCAUGAGUCUGAAUCAAUAGACUGCAACCAGUGAGCAAUCAUUUGUUUAAUUUCAACUAGUGUUUCUGGUCUUGUACAUGUAUUUCUGCCUAAUGCUUUGAAUCCCAAAAUUGUUCUAAAAGAUGCUUUAAGUCCUUGAGGCAUGCAGACUUUGUUUUUUGAGGUUUUGAAUGGUAUGUUCUAUAUCUUCAAUAAAAUGAAAUGUACAACUGUGA